CAACGCCUUCCCUUACAGUUGCCCCGAGGCGUAAGAUACCACCAGUGACGGUUGUGCAAUUCAAAACAAUGUUACCUAUUUAGUUAUUAACCUAAUAUGUCAUUGGAGGAGCUUCCUCAGCGUAACUCUAGCAGGUGACUUUAUCCAUAUGAACCUGAAGACAGUCCUGCCUAAAUUCCACCAGAACGCUGAUUUUGCUACCAGAGGUGAAAAUACACCAGAUCUGUAGAAGAAAAAUAAAUUUUAAAUUAAAUUUUGUUAUCAAGCUUGA